AUUGAACGCUGGCGGUAUGCUUAACACAUGCAAGUCGAACGGUAACAGGCCUUCGGGCGCUGACGAGUGGCGGACGGUGAGUAACGCGUAGGAAUCUGCCUCAUAGUGGGGACAACGUGGGGAAACUCACGCUAAUACCGCAUACGCCUACGGGGAAAGCGGGGAGUCUUCGGACCUCGCGCUAUGAGAUGAGCCUGCGUUAGAUUAGCUAGUUGGUAGGGUAAAGGCCUACCAAGGCGACGAUCUAUAGCUGGUCUGAGAGGACGAUCAGCCACACUGGGACUGAGACACGGCCCAGACUCCUACGGGAGGCAGCAGUGGGGAAUAUUGGACAAUGGGCGCAAGCCUGAUCCAGCAAUACCGCGUGUGUGAAGAAGGCCUUAGGGUUGUAAAGCACUUUCAAUUGGGAGGAAAACCUGCCGGUCAAUAACCCGGUAGCUUGACAUUACCUUUAGAAGAAGCACCGGCUAACUCCGUGCCAGCAGCCGCGGUAA
rnacentral:rRNA from 1 species